rnacentral:rRNA from 1 species
CUACGGGACGCACCAGUAGGGAAUCUUCCACAAUGGGCGAAAGCCUGAUGGAGCAACGCCGCGUGAGUGAAGAAGGUUUUCGGAUCGUAAAACUCUGUUGUAAGGGAAGAACAAGUACAGUAGUAACUGGCUGUACCUUGACGGUACCUUAUUAGAAAGCCACGGCUAACUACGUGCCAGCAGCCGCGGUAAUACGUAGGUGGCAAGCGUUGUCCGGAAUUAUUGGGCGUAAAGCGCGCGCAGGCGGUCCUUUAAGUCUGAUGUGAAAGCCCACGGCUCAACCGUGGGGGGUCAUUGGAAACUGGGGGACUUGAGUGCAGAAGAGGAAAGUGGAAUUCCAAGUGUAGCGGUGAAAUGCGUAGAGAUUUGGAGGAACACCAGUGGCGAAGGCGACUUUCUGGUCUGUAACUGACGCUGAGGCGCGAAAGCGUGGGGAGCAAACAGGAUUAGAUACCCUAGUAGUC